rnacentral:rRNA from 1 species
UGGGGUAUAUUGGACAAUGGGCGAAAGCCUGAUCCAGCCAUGCCGCGUGUGUGAAGAAGGUCUUCGGAUUGUAAAGCACUUUAAGUUGGGAGGAAGGGCAGUAAGCGAAUACCUUGCUGUUUUGACGUUACCGACAGAAUAAGCACCGGCUAACUCUGUGCCAGCAGCCGCGGUAAUACAGAGGGUGCAAGCGUUAAUCGGAAUUACUGGGCGUAAAGCGCGCGUAGGUGGUUCGUUAAGUUGAAUGUGAAAGCCCCGGGCUCAACCUGGGAACUGCAUCCAAAACUGGCGAGCUAGAGUAGGGCAGAGGGUGGUGGAAUUUCCUGUGUAGCGGUGAAAUGCGUAGAUAUAGGAAGGAACACCACUGGCGAAGGCGACCACCUGGGCUCAUACUGACACUGAGGUGCGAAAGCGUGGGGAGCAAACAGG